GGGUAAUAAAAUAUGCGCUUAAUGGAUGCCUUGGUGCAACACACCGAAGAAGGACGUGGAGGGCUGCGAUAUGCGCCGGUGAGCUGCCGUCAAGCUUUGACCCGGUGAUUUCCGAAUGGGGUAACCCCCGGCCAUUGGCCGGACCUGCUUGAGAAUAAAUAAUCUUGCAGGAGGGCACCGUCUGAACUGAAACAUCUAAGUAAGGCGAGGAAAAGAAAACGAAAGUGAUUCCCUAAGUAGCGGCGAGCGAAAGGGGAAAAGUCUAAACCCCCGCAUUGCGGGGGGGUUGUGGGACUUCAAUGUGGGAUUUACUUCUGAUAGCUGAACAAUCUGGAAUGGUUGAUCAUAGAGAGUGAAAAUCUCGUAAGCGAAAUCAAAAGUAACCUUAGAAGUAUCCCAAGUACUACGGGACACGCGAAAUCCUGUAGGAAUCCGUCCCGACCACGGGAUAAGACUAAACAUGUGUUGCGACCGAUAGUGAACUAGUACCGUGAGGGAAAGGUGAAAGAGUACCCCGGAAGGGGAAUGAAAAGUACCUGAAAUUAAGCGCUAACAUGCAGUGGGAGCCCCGCAAUGCGGGGUGACCGCGUGCCUAUUGAAGAAUGAACCGGUGAGUUUUCCUAUUCUGUAGUCUAACCCCGCCUAGCGGGGGGAGGCAUAGUGAAAGCGAGCGUUAAUAGCGCAAUUUUUUACAGAAUAGUAAAGACCCGAAACCGCGUGAGCUAACCAUGGCCAGGUUGAAGUCCCGUUAACGCGGGAUGGAGGACCGAACCCGUGUCAGUUGCAAGUGGCUGGGAUGAGCUGUGGUUAGGGGUGAUAUACCUAUCGAACGCGGAGAUAGCUGGUUCUCCCCGAAAUAUAUUUAAGUAUAGCCCGUGAUUUUAAACUUUAGGGGUAGAGCACUGAAUGGAAAGUAGUAUCGCAAGAUGUUGCUAUUCAACCAAACUCCGAAUACUAAAGUGUACAUUCGCGGAGUCAGUCCGGCCCGGAUAAGCGGGUCAGGGCAAAAGGGAAACAACCCAGAUCCAAAGCUAAGGUCCCAAAGUAUAUCCUAAGUGUUAAAGGCAGUGUCUGUGCUCAGACAGCAAGGAGGUUGGCUUAGAGGCAGCCAUCCUUUAAAGAUAGCGUAAUAGCUCACUUGUCGACUAUGGCACAGGCGCGCCGAAAAUGUAACGGGGCUAAGGAUAUCACCGAAGCUUGGAGCCCCGCAUUGCGGGGCGGUAGGGGAGCGUUUGCAUUGCAGUGAAGCACUUCCGUAGGUUUCCUACGCAACGUUCGUCGACGUAGGGUUAGUCGGUCCUAAGGCGAGGCCAGAAGGCGUAGUCGAUGGAUAAGCAGUUAAUAUUCUGCUACUUUAAUAAAAUCGUUAUCACUAAAGGGAAGACGAAGAUGGAAUACUCUAGAGUCGAAAUGAUACGGCUCCUAAAUAGUAAGGAAGUGAAAGGUGGAAAAUCCACUUUCAUGAUUAUUCAAGCUAUGAAUGAAAGUUGGCGCAAGCUGACAAUUAGAACUGUUUCAACUUCCUAGAAAUUAUCUCGUUAGGAGAUUUUAUUAAAUCCGUACCGCAAACCGACACAGGUGGACUGGUAUUAGUGUACCAAGGCGAGCGAGAAAACUUUCCUUAAGGAACUCGGCAAAAUAGCUGGACGUACCUUCGGAAGAUGUCCUCCCUGGCCGUCUUUUAGACGGACCAACAGUUAACAUUUAACAAAGUAACAAAUUAACAGGUUGGAAUUUCUAUUUAUAGAAUUAAUUUCCAUAAUGGUUAAUUGUUAAUUGCUAAUUUGUUUAUUGUUGCCGCCUGAUAGGCGGCUGGGGCGCAGCUAAAGACGCCAAGCGACUGUUUAUCAAAAACACAGGUCCAUGCUUAAGUCGAAAGACGAUGUAUAUGGGCUGAUGCCUGCCCAGUGCUCGUAGGUCAAUCAUUGGAGGUGAUCCCCGCUUUGCGGGAUGAGCUUUCGAUGCAAGCCCGAGUAAACGGCAGCAGUAACUAUAACUGUUCUAAGGUAGCGAAAUUCCUUGUCGGGUAAGUUCCGACCCGCACGAAAGGUUUAACGACUUGGCGACUGUCU
rfam:Parcubacteria bacterium GW2011_GWA1_36_12 TR98_C0006, whole genome shotgun sequence.